ACUCAAAUGAAUAGACGGGGGCCCGCACAAGCGGUGGAGCAUGUGGUUUAAUUCGACGCAACGCGAAGAACCUUACCUGGGCUCGAACGGCUUCCUAACGGUGCUGGAAACAGUAUUAUCCCGCAAGGGAGUGGAGUCGAGGUGCUGCAUGGCUGUCGUCAGCUCGUGUCGUGAGAUGUUGGGUUAAGUCCCGCAACGAGCGCAACCCUUGUCCUGUGUUGCUAAUCUGUAAAAGGAUGCACUCUCAGGAGACCGCCAGCGAUAAGUUGGAGGAAGGUGGGGAUGACGUCAAGUCAUCAUGGCCUUUAUGUCCAGGGCUACACACGUGCUACAAUGGACGGUACAAACCGACGCCAACCCGCGAGGGGGAGCAAAUCGGAAAAAACCGUUCUCAGUUCGGAUUGCAGGCUGCAACUCGCCUGCAUGAAGCUGGAAUCGCUAGUAAUGGUAUAUCAGAACGAUACCGUGAAUACGUUCCCGGGCCUUGUACACACCGCCCGU
rnacentral:rRNA from 1 species